CCCUUAGAUGUUCUGGGCUGCACGCGCGCUACACUGAAGCUAUCAACACGUUUUCCCUCCCUGAGAAGGGCGGGUAACCUUUUGAAUCAGCUUCGUGGUAGGGAUCGGGGCUUGCAAUUGUUCCCCGUGAACCUGGAAUUCCUAGUAGACGCGAGUCAUAAGCUCGCAUCGAUUAAGUCCCUGCCCUUUGUACACACCGCCCGUCGCUACUACCGAUUGAACGUUUUAGUGAGGCAUUUGGACCGACGCAUCUCAGUUUAACCGCUGGUUUGUGUUGGAAAGACUUCCAAACUUGAGCGCUUAGAGGAAGUGAAAGUCGUAACA
rnacentral:rRNA from 1 species